AUCUAUGGCCAUACCCCCCUGAGCAUGCACGAUCUCGUCUGAUCUCAGAAGCUAAGCAGGAUUGGGCCUGGUUAGUAUUUGGAUGGGAGACUAUCAGGAAAUACCAAGUGCCAUAGGCA
ensembl:rRNA 5S_rRNA 5S ribosomal RNA